rnacentral:rRNA from 1 species
AGGAACAACGCUGGCGGCGUGCCUAACGCAUGCAAGUCGGGCGGGCGUCUCCUUCGGGGGGUGUCAGCGGCGGACGGGUGAGGAACGCGUGGGCAACCUGCCCCGAAGUGGGGGACAACCCCGGGAAACCGGGGCUGAUACCGCAUAUGGUCGCCCCCUGGACGGGGGGUGAGCAAAGCCUUCGGGCGCUUCGGGAGGGGCCUGCGUCCGAUUAGCUGGUUGGCGGGGUGACGGCCCACCAAGGCGACGAUCGGUAGCUGGUCUGAGAGGACGACCAGCCACAGGGGAACUGAGACACGGUCCAGACUCCUACGGGAGGCAGCAGUGGGGAAUUUUGCACAAUGGGCGAAAGCCUGAUGCAGCAACGCCGCGUGUGUGAUGAAGGUCUUCGGAUCGUAAAGCACUUUCGACCGGGACGAAAACCCAAUGGCUAACAUCCAUUGGCUUGACGGUACCGGAGAAGAAGCACCGGCUAACUCUGUGCCAGCAGCCGC